UUACACAAUCGAUUCCCUGAUGCACCAUUCUACAAUUGCUUAGUUUCCACCGUGCAGAGUUUAGAGUUAGGCAGCUUCAUCAUCGGUCAAUUCCAUAUAACUCCUACACGUGAUUGGUUAACUCUGUUUAACCUCAGCACGGUGGAAACUAAUUUAAUGAUCACUAUAUUCUGCUCACAGACCACUUAUGCCCGUUUCCUCCGACGCGGUUUAGUGUUGAACGUAGUUUAAACUCCGAUUACUGAAUUUUUACAUUACUCCAACAAUUGAACGGAAGAUAACCGGCGUUUAACUUGAACGCCCGAUGUCGACCGUUCAGGGACUUAAACGUCGUUCAAUACCGUUGUUUGAUGGCUGUGUCAAUGGUGGGGAGAAGGGUAGCGUUGGUUAGAGGUUAAGUUGUUUGGUUCAGUUCAUCUUCUGAUAAUGAUGAAAUUAUAGAUUUUAUUAAUUGAAGACCGGAAAAAUUCAAAAUUCGCCAUAAUUACUUUGAAGAAUUGGAUGAUGUAGAAUUUAAAAUGAAAUUUCGAAUGGGCAAAUAAUGAUGUGGCUAUGUAAUGAAGUACAGGAAGAUGUUGACGUUCCCUUCAAAUAAAAAUUAGCUGAUACCACCACUGGAUCAGUUGUUGCUCACUUUAAGAUUAUACGCAACAAGAUCCCAUUACAUGUCUGUAGCAGAUUUUUCUAGUGUAAGCAUAACUUCUGCACAUCGUAUUACUUCUUGUGCUUCUUGUGGAUGUGAUUGCAAGAUUAAAACCACGUUUCGUGAAGUUCCUUUCGACAAAUGAAGAAAUUCGUCAGCAACAAGAACAGUUUCACAGAAUUGCAAGGUUUCCAAAAGAGGUUUCUUCGUUGACAGCAGCGAUAUAGUUUUCUUAAAAUUAUAAAUUGCAUUUAUUCCAAUAAUAUAGUGAUGUUUGCUUCUCCACAGGUUGUAAAGUUCCAGAAUCAAGUCGACACUUAACAACAGAAGAAUGGUAAAUAAUAUAGGAAAUUCAAGGACAUUAAUCAGAAGAUUGAAUUGUACAUAAAAUUAAUUUGGGUAAUGAUUGUUUUAUUAAAAUUUUGAGAACCCAUGGUUCAUAAUAGUAAAUAAAUAUUGGAAAAGAUAUUCAAUAAAUAAAGCAGUAACGAUUCGUGUAAUUUUA